AAAGCUAAACAUCAGCCGAUCCGAUCCAGGGGAAGGGUGGACUGGAAAUCGAGGGUCGACUGAAAUGCUUAGCUUCCAACUAGGCAACACAUAGCUCAACGCGAACGGAUCGCUUUGGCCGGUAUCAGCGUUCAUCAGAAUCGUCAGCCCUGCUUCUUCACGAAGCAUUGUCCACAUGAUACGCGUGCGUACGCGAUCUGGUUGUUUUCGUGUCUCGGCUUGCAUCACACGACGUAUUCGUUAUGUGCGACUACGAUUCGAGCGUGUGCUUCAAGCAGUGGCGCUGCUAUUCACGUGAAGCAGGCGAACGACCAUUCAUCUGAAAUAUUGUGCCCCACCUGGUCCGCCCGCCCAAUGAUAUACCGGUAUCUGACAGAUGUACCCUUGCGGAUAGGCUGCCGCGUGCCCCGCAGGAUUUAAUAUGGCCAUUAUGCAAUAAGUAGACGUAAAUGAUCACCAGUGACAAGACUGAAUUCGUCAUCGCUCCCCAACAACCAUAGGGGGCAUGGCACAUAUCAACGCAACGGGCAGAGCGGUAAAGCGCAAAAUAGCUAGAGCUGUUGACUCGGAACUUGUAUAGCUAUCUGAAAAAAAAUCUAUAGAGCUUAAACAUAACCAACCACAAAAGAUUAAAUUGUCACUAAACGAUGAUGAAACUGACUCUUCGCCAGCACUGAAAUUUCCACAUGUCGUUAAUGUGGUAUUCUUACUUAUUAUGCGUACUUGUCUUCAAGAGGCUAUUUUGUACUGAAAUUUUCUAAAAGACCACCUCCCACUAGAGACGAGCCUGUAACCACAAGCCUUUAAAGAGGGUUCUGUCUGUUUUUGAUCAUUUAGAUUUUUCUAGAGUGAUAUCGUAUCAUAUUGAUGUUUUCUCUGCUGGAACCAUUUAACAGUCGGCGCAGCCAAGUCCGGCUUCUUUGGCAACUUGUCAAGCAUUUACGUAUGCCGAAAUUGUGAGAAGUAGCUAAUGACGUAGUCAAGGGCGUUGUCUCUAAGCGAUGGAUUUGUCAGAAUUUGAAAACCUCUAUUCACUGCACUGUUUAUCCUCGCUCAGAUUGAUCUAAACGUUCUGGUUGUACCAUGGACUGUACAUUGCCCUCGAUACACAGGUAGAAUCACUUUGCCGUACGUAUCAGCACCUAUGAUACUAUGAUGGUUACAAUGAUACAGAACACCCACCCUAUAGGUGUCUUUUUGUAUUGAUGUCCUAAAUCGACCAGCUGCAAACCCUACGAAUGAAAGCCGUUGUUUUACUAUAACCGUUUAACUAAAGCGCAUCCCAUAUAUUAUAAAUAGUAGGAAAAAACAUAUCGUAAUCGGGAUAAAAUGAAUUUGUCUUCAUACGCAACGCACAGCGUACGUCAACGAGUCAAACAGCGAUCACGAACAACAGUCAAUAGUGCAACUAAUACAUAAUGUCGAAAGAAAGCUGCCAUAGACAUCGGUAGACCUCAUUUUUCAUAGACCUACACUUCAAAAACUGGACCUAUGAUUCGCAAUCAAAAUAGCUCCCGUUCCCGUCAGCCAUCUCUGUUAUCGCGGUCUCUAUUCAUUUAGUUCAUCGUGUUAGAACCUGGUGAUCGCGAGCCUAGGUAAAAGGUCUGUCUUCUGCGCGACAGCAUUGACUUCUGUUUGUACACGCACGGGGCAGCUAUUACAUCGGUUUAAUAAGAGGAGUUGCUCAUGAGCGAAAAGGUCGGCAUGAUAUAUGGAUAUACUGCUGUUACGUGGCGAAUAAAUAAAGAACAGGAUGACUGUGAUAUGUUGAAAUACUAUCUAUCAAUCUAAUAGAGGAAAAGACAUUUGUCAAGAUUGUAACACCAAGGUUUAGGUAAGGCCCGCCUGGAUUGGAACCAUUGGCCAUAUAAUA